CGCCGCUUUGUUGAGCGCGACGCAGAGGGCCCCGCUGGUGGAGAAGUCGAGCUGAUGGCAGAACCUGAAACCGUAGUACGUGUCGGGGUCGGCCAGCUCGGGGAAGCGGUGCUUCAGCUGGCUCUGCAGGGUCAGCGUCUCGUACCACAUCUUGCUGUCGAUGCGGAUGUCCCAGUGCUUGUUGACCACGAUGAAGUCGGGGCUCUGGUACAGGAUGCAGAGGUUGUCGAUGGUGCCC
rnacentral:lncRNA from 1 species